UACGUAGGGGGCAAGCGUUGUCCGGAUUUAUUGGGCGUAAAGAGCGUGUAGGCGGCCUGAAAGGUCAGCUGUGAAAACUCGAGGCUCAACCUCGAGACGUCGGUUGAAACCAUCUGGCUAGAGUCCGGAAGAGGAGUGUGGAAUUCCCGGUGUAGCGGUGAAAUGCGCAGAUAUCGGGAGGAACACCAGUGGCGAAGGCGGUUCUCUGGGCCUGUACUGACGCUGAGGAGCGAAAGCGUGGGGAGCGAACAGG
rnacentral:rRNA from 1 species